UGUGCCUGUGCUCUGUGGAUGAGUUGUUGUUGUCACAAGGUACAGAGAGGGAGGAGCCACUAUCAGCGCUUUGAAACGGAGACAUGCACAAUCUAAUGCGACCCUAGUGGAACAGCGGACGCCGGAACAUUUCCAGCGUUUACUUAUACAGGCUUUGCGAGCUCGGAUGAGAAAGCUGCGUGCGCUUCAUCCAGGAAUGCGCUCUCAAACUCUUUAUCCGCCGAGCUCUUCUCCUUCGUGUUAUUCGCUGUUUUAAAGUAUACUAAGUUUGAGUGAGACAAAAAGGUAAAACUUUAUAAUUACUUUAAUUAACGGCGUGAACUUGAGUGGGAAAUGUGGCUAUAUAAACACAUGCUUGUUAUUGAUAUUAAUGAAAGUUAUUACCACUAUGACAGCUGACAAAAGUGCACUUAACAGAACCACAAUGAGAAGAGACCGCGGGUUGAGUUGUAACCCAGUCGGUUUAACCAAUUAGAAAAGAGCUGCAGGGGUGAAAUUACUUCAAACGUGAGAGCACCACCCUCCUGAGGUGACCGUAAAAGUUAUAAAAGGAUUUGCAGGACCCACUGUAAGAAAAGAUGAGAUCAGAGAGUAAACAGAGACCAAAUGUGCUCUAAUAAAACGACAGAUCUUCUAGCCGGCUCAUUUCCAUAAAGCAGUUCCUGCACAAAUCAGCUGUGCCAAGCAACAGUGACCUCUACAGGGACUGAAGAUGGAAAAGACAGAUACACUUUUGACUUCCUGCUGGAAACUCCUUGAAGGGAAGAAAAACAGAGGAUCUUGAAAAAGAAAAAGGAUAUUCAAAAGCUAUAAAUCACUGUGAAUUAAUUAAAGGUUAAAUAAAUAUGCUGUAAAAAUACUAAGUGGAUUGUGAUACAAAACAUGCAAAGUACAGGACAAUAAAAA